UAUUAGAGCCAAUUAAUUCUCGGGCCGCGGCGGCGGCGGCGGCGGCCGGGGCGCCCGCGGGCGCGCGAGCGGUUAAUUCAAUAACCGAAAGCGUUAAAUUAAUUAUGCAGGUGCGUUCGUUUAAAGUCGCCGGAGCGACGGUAUACGAAAUACGUUUUAGCGGCGGCGGCGGUGCGGUUUCCGCGACGCUGCUGACGCUGCCGCUGACGCUGCUGCCGCUGCCGCUGCCGCCGCCGCCGCCGCUGCAGUCGCGUACAAUAAUCGAUCCGUCGAAAAGCGGCGUGUUAUUUU